CAAAGAAAAAACCAAUACUGUAAAACAACUUUUUACAUAGCAUUUACAUUUAUUAUGUAAAAGUAAUCAAGAGAUGAUUACAGGUUUAAAGGAGGAUAUGGGUAGGUCAUAUACAAAUACUGUGCCAUUUUAUAAAAGGAGCUUGAGCAUCUAAAUUUUGGUAUGCGGAGGAGGGUUGUCCUAAACUAAUCCCUUCAGAAUACCAGGGACUACUGUACUAGACUAGCAGGUCUCUAAAGUAUGAGCCAGGAAAUCCUAGGGAUCCCCAAGAAUUUUUCAGGAGAAUUUUGUAAAGUCAAAACUAUUUCCAUAAUAAUGCUACUUGAUUUUUUCACUGUCAUUCUCUCACACAUGUACAGUGGGGUUUUCCAGAAGCUACAUGGGUGAUGUGUAAUAUCACAAUAGAUUGAAUGCAGAAGCUGACAUAAGAAUCCAGCUUUCCAUUGAGCCACGUUCUAAAGAGAGAUGCAAAAAAUGUAAAUCGAUGCCACUCUUCUCACUACAUUUUGUCUCAAAAAAAGUUAAAUAAAAACGAGGUUUGUUAGUGUGUCAUGGGUUUAUUCUUAUUAAAUUGCCCAAUGAAUAUGUUUUUAAUUCUGUUUUAAUCUCUAAUGCAGUACAUAUGAUAGGUAUAAUCCACAUGAACAAAAGCAAACGGGUACCCGGGCUGGAACGUUAGAGAACUGCAGUCCUAAACAACAGGAUGUCUUCAGCCCCGGUCAGACUAAACUCACUCCCACCACCCCCUUCCCUCCUGUGGCUGAGGAAAAAGACUGAUAUAAAGCCGACUUUAAGAAAAACAGUUCUUCAGGCAGCUAAAGUCAAAGCCCUCUCUUUUCCCUGACUUCUUUUUCCUACCCUUUUUGGAGACCAUGGCUUUGGGGGCCGAAGUGGGCGGGGCCUGGUCGUGGAGCAUCACAGAGCCUCACAGAGAGCAGGGCCAGUCCCAGCAGCACUGCAUCCUGGGAAGCGAGGCACUCAUAGGCCUCGACCAAUGAGAUGUGGCUGCGUCACAAGGGGCGUCCCUCCAGGCGACCCAAGUUGCCAACCACUCGGGCUCGCGCUCGCUGCGCCAGUGCCCCGCGGGCCGUUCUGGGCGUCCAGCAUGGUGGACUACUACGAGGUGCUGGGCGUGCCCCGGCAGGCCUCGACCGAGGCCAUCAAGAGGGCUUACCGCAAACUGGCGCUCAAGUGGCACCCAGACAAAAACCCCGAGAACAAGGAGGAAGCAGAAAGGAGAUUCAAGCAGGUGGCCGAGGCCUACGAGGUGUUGUCGGACGCCAAGAAACAUGAUGUGUACGACCGCUAUGGCGAGGCGGGGGCGGAGGGUAGCUGCGCAGUCGGCAGGCCUUUCGAGGACCCCUUCGAGUACAUCUUCAGCUUCCGCGACCCGGCCGAGGUCUUCAGGGAGUUCUUCGGUGGCCAGGACCCAUUCUCCUUUGACCUCUUCGGAAACCCGCUGGAAAAUAUUUUUGGGAGUCGGAGGAACUCCCGGGGAAGCAGAAGCAGAGGGUCUGCACCCCUUUUCUCCACCUUCAGUGAAUUUCCAGCUUUUGAGGGUGGAUUUUCUUCUUUUGAUACAGAAUUUAGUUCCUUUGACUCCCUGGGAAGUGGGGGCCUUUCUUCCUUCUGCAUGUCCUAUGGUAGUGAUGGGACAGGCAGCUUCAAGUCCAUGUCGACUUCCACUGAAAUAGUUGAUGGCAAAAAAAACCACCACCAAGAGAAUCAUUGAGAAUGGCCAAGAAAGGGUGGAAGUGGAGGAAGAUGGAGAGUUGAGUUAAAGUCCUUCAUAAUAAAUGGCAUAGAGCAGUUGCUCCACAUUGACACCGAGUAAUCCCAGUCCACAUUUGACUUAAAGCACAUCUGGAGGAAUAGUGGACUUUUUUUAGGAUUGAAAGUGAACUUUGCUUUCAGAAAAACUGUACCCAAGAAUUUAUAAACAUUUUAUGCCAAUGCCUGUCUUUACCGUUGGGACUACUACGGAUAGGACCUCUGUUUGUCUUUCGAUCACUGUAAACAUCUGUAUGCGCUUUGCUGUUUAUUAAACUUAAGCCUGAGGC